rnacentral:rRNA from 1 species
GACGAACCGUGCGAACGUUAUUCGGAAUCACUGGGCUUAAAGGGCGCGUAGGCGGGCGGUCAAGUCAGAGGUGAAAGCCCCCAGCUCAACUGGGGAAGUGCCUUUGAUACUGGUCGUCUCGAGGGAGAUAGGGGCGUGCGGAACUUCCGGUGGAGCGGUGAAAUGCGUAGAUAUCGGAAGGAACACCGGUGGCGAAAGCGGCGCGCUGGAUCUCUUCUGACGCUGAGGCGCGAAAGCCAGGGGAGCGAACGGG